rnacentral:rRNA from 1 species
AUUGAACGCUGGCGGCAUGCCUUACACAUGCAAGCCGAACGGUAACAGGUCUUCGGAUGCUGACGAGUGGCGAACGGGUGAGUAAUACAUCGGAACGUGCCCGAUCGUGGGGGAUAACGGAGCGAAAGCUUUGCUAAUACCGCAUACGAUCUACGGAUGAAAGCGGGGGAUCUUCGGACCUCGCGCGGACGGAGCGGCCGAUGACAGAUUAGGUAGUCGGUGGGAUAAAAGCUUACCAAGCCGACGAUCUGUAGCUGGUCUGAGAGGAUGAUCAGCCACACUGGGACUGAGACACGGCCCAG